rnacentral:rRNA from 1 species
CGGGCGUUAAGUUGCAGGGUAUAGACCCGAAACCCGGUGAUCUAGCCAUGGGCAGGUUGAAGGUUGGGUAACACUAACUGGAGGACCGAACCGACUAAUGUUGAAAAAUUAGCGGAUGACCUGUGGCUGGGGGUGAAAGGCCAAUCAAACCGGGAGAUAGCUGGUUCUCCCCGAAAGCUAUUUAGGUAGCGCCUCGUGAAUUCAUCUCCGGGGGUAGAGCACUGUUUCGGCUAGGGGGCCAUCCCGGCUUACCAACCCGAUGCAAACUGCGAAUACCGGAGAAUGUUAUCACGGGAGACACACGGCGGGUGCUAACGUCCGUCGUGAAGAGGGAAACAACCCAGACCGCCAGCUAAGGUCCCAAAGUCAUGGUUAAGUGGGAAACGAUGUGGGAAGGCCCAGACAGCCAGGAUGUUGGCUUAGAAGCAGCCAUCAUUUAAAGAAAGCGUAAUAGCUCACUGGUCGAGUCGGCCUGCGCGGAAGAUGUAACGGGGCUAAACCAUGCACCGAAGCUGCGGCAGCGACACUGUGUGUUGUUGGGUAGGGGAGCGUUCUGUAAGCCUGUGAA